rnacentral:rRNA from 2 species
ACGAGUUCUGAUUAUUGAAAGGUGCUUGCAUCUUGAUUUAAUUUUGAACGAGUGGCGGACGGGUGAGUAACACGUGGGUAACCUGCCCUUAAGUGGGGGAUAACAUUUGGAAACAGAUGCUAAUACCGCAUAAAUCCAAGAACCGCAUGGUUCUUGGCUGAAAGAUGGCGUAAGCUAUCGCUUUUGGAUGGACCCGCGGCGUAUUAGCUAGUUGGUGAGGUAACGGCUCACCAAGGCAAUGAUACGUAGCCGAACUGAGAGGUUGAUCGGCCACAUUGGGACUGAGACACGGCCCAAACUCCUACGGGAGGCAGCAGUAGGGAAUCUUCCACAAUGGACGCAAGUCUGAUGGAGCAACGCCGCGUGAGUGAAGAAGGCUUUCGGGUCGUAAAACUCUGUUGUUGGAGAAGAAUGGUCGGCAGAGUAACUGUUGUCGGCGUGACGGUAUCCAACCAGAAAGCCACGGCUAACUACGUGCCAGCAGCCGCGGUAAUACGUAGGUGGCAAGCGUUAUCCGGAUUUAUUGGGCGUAAAGCGAGCGCAGGCGGUUUUUUAAGUCUGAUGUGAAAGCCCUCGGCUUAACCGAGGAAGUGCAUCGGAAACUGGGAAACUUGAGUGCAGAAGAGGACAGUGGAACUCCAUGUGUAGCGGUGAAAUGCGUAGAUAUAUGGAAGAACACCAGUGGCGAAGGCGGCUGUCUGGUCUGUAACUGACGCUGAGGCUCGAAAGCAUGGGUAGCGAACAGGAUUAGAUACCCUGGUAGUCCAUGCCGUAAACGAUGAAUGCUAGGUGUUGGGAGGGUUUCCGCCCUUCAGUGCCGCAGCUAACGCAUUAAGCAUUCCGCCUGGGGAGUACGACCGCAAGGUUGAAACUCAAAGGAAUUGACGGGGGCCCGCACAAGCGGUGGA